AUCCCUCUAAUCUCUUCCCCACUUGCAAACCAGAAACAAAGUAACUAGAAUUCUUUGGUCAUUCUAAGUACUACAAAUUCCCUCCCCAAGAAUGGGUAAUUUCUAGGGCUUGUGUAUCUUGGGCUCUUUCCUACUAGCACUGUGGCUAAGUCCGUAAGAAAACCCUAAAUCCCAGCUUUCACUUUCGUUCGUUCUCUCAUACGUUCCGCCUUCGAUCUCUCACAGACACGCCCCGCCGAACCAAAGAUGCCUUUCAAGAGGUACGGCGAGGACUACGGCAAGCUCGUCGUCAUCGUCGACAUCAUUGACCAGAACAGAGCCUGUGUUGCAGCUGCUUUACCGCUUAUAUGCAUCAGUGAUGACCAUAGAGAGCACAUCAAAACUAGAUGAUGAGCAGUGGCUUGCUUAUUGGAUUAUUUACUCUUUCCUCACUCUCUCGGAGACGGUUAUCCAACCCAGUUUAGAAUGGUAUAGAGGAGGCAAAGAC